GGGCGGUUGGCUCAGGGGCAGAGCGCCUGACUCACAUUCAGGAGGUCACUGGUUCAAAUCCAGUACCGCCCACCA
rnacentral:tRNA from 1 species